GGCAGUGCCAUUCCCCCACAGCAAGAAGGGGACUGAUUGAGCUGUAUGGAAGCCACAGCCCACCCACAGAAUACAAAUAAGGAGAACCAUAUGUGGGGAGAUGAAUUAGUGAUUUAGAUGACAUGAAAACUAUUUGCUGCCUUGACAGACAGUCCCAGUCAGCUCAAGGUUCAAGACGACCUCUCCAAAUGAAAUAUGUCAAAUUUAUUAAACAAGAGAACAUCAUCUGAACAGCC